CCGAGUGAGGGCCCUCUGGGUCCAACCUCCCACCCGUGUCUAUCGUACCUUGUUGCUUCGGCGGGCCCGCCGUUUCGACGGCCGCCGGGGAGGCCUCGCGCCCCCGGGCCCGCGCCCGCCGAAGACCCCAACAUGAACGCUGUUCUGAAAGUAUGCAGUCUGAGUUGAUUAUCAUAAUCAGUUAAAACUUUCAACAACGGAUCUCUUGGUUCCGGCAUCGAUGAAGAACGCAGCGAAAUGCGAUAAGUAAUGUGAAUUGCAGAAUUCAGUGAAUCAUCGAGUCUUUGAACGCACAUUGCGCCCCCUGGUAUUCCGGGGGGCAUGCCUGUCCGAGCGUCAUUGCUGCCCUCAAGCACGGCUUGUGUGUUGGGCCCCGUCCCCUCCCCCGGGGACGGGCCCGAAAGGCAGCGGCGGCACCGCGUCCGGUCCUCGAGCGUAUGGGGCUUUGUCACCCGCUCUGUAGGCCCGGCCGGCGCCAGCCGACACCCAACUUUAUUUUCUAAGG
rnacentral:misc_RNA from 2 species